rnacentral:rRNA from 1 species
AUGGAAGUUCAAGAGCCAAAUCUCUUAACAUAUUGUCAAGUUCUUGCUGAUGCGGUUGUGAAAAGAAAUCUAGUUAAUUUCCCAGUGCAUUGGAUGCAUUGGACGAUAAGACCUCAUCUUCACCGGUUUGUCUAGUUCACUCAUGAAAAUGAAGCAAGGAUCUUCAAGAUAAGCAGAGAGAACAAUAGAAUUGCUCACAAACAGGCUCAUGAUGCUUAUAAUCUCUUCGAUGUUGUUACUUGCCUCUAUACUUGCUUAGGUGUGCGGCAUGAAGCAUCUAAAUGCCCUGUGAAAAGCUGUUCUCGGCUCUCUAAAUGUGCAAUCUUGCACAUUGGAUGUUAG